GAUGAACGCUGGCGGCGUGCCUAAUACAUGCCAGUCGAGCGAACAGACGAGGAGCUUGCUCCUUUGACGUUAGCGGCGGACGGGUGAGUAACACGUGGAUAACCUACCUAUAAGACUGGGAUAACUUCGGGAAACCGGAGCUAAUACCGGAUAACAUGUUGAACCGCAUGGUUCAACAGUGAAAGACGGUCUUGCUGUCACUUAUAGAUGGAUCCGCGCCGCAUUAGCUAGUUGGUAAGGUAACGGCUUACCAAGGCAACGAUGCGUAGCCGACCUGAGAGGGUGAUCGGCCGCACUGGAACUGAGACACGGUCCAGACUCCUACGGGAGGCAGCAGUAGGGAAUCUUCCGCAAUGGGCGAAAGCCUGACGGAGCAACGCCGCGUGAGUGAAGAAGGUCUUCGGAUCGUAAAACUCUGUUAUUAGGGAAGAACAAAUGUGUAAGUAACUAUGCACGUCUUGACGGUACCUAAUCAGAAAGCCACGGCUAACUACGUG
rnacentral:rRNA from 1 species